GCAUCUGGUGGAUGCCUUGGCGGCAACAGGCGAUGAAAGACGUAGUAGCCUGCGAUAAGCCUCGGGGAGUUGGCAAACGAACCGUGAUCCGAGGAUGUCCGAAUGGGGAAACCCCGCACGAGUCAUGUCGUGUGACCCGCACCUGAAUAUAUAGGGUGUGUGGAGGGAACGGCGGGAAGUGAAACAUCUCAGUACCGCCAGGAAGAGAUAUUCCGUGAGUAGUGGCGAGCGAAAGCGGAUGUAGCCUAAACCGGUUGCGUGUGAUACCUGUCAGGGGUUGCGUAGUCGGGGUUGUGGGAUCUGCUUUUCACAUCUGACAGUGUGGAGAAGAGUUACAAAGCCAGUUGUUAGUCGAAUGGUGUGGGAAAGCC
rnacentral:rRNA from 1 species